rnacentral:sRNA from 1 species
AAAUUCAAAAACCAAAAAAAACUUUGGGUUUUUAGGGUUUUGAAUUUGCGGAUUUUUAUCAUUGGGUA